AUUGAACGCUGGCGGCAGGCCUAACACAUGCAAGUCGAACGAGUGGCGGACGGGUGAGUAAUGCUUGGGAAUCUAGCCUACGGAGGGGGAUAAAUACGGGAAACUGUAGCUAAUACCGCGUACCAUAGGAUGAGCCCAAGUGGGAUUAGGUAGUUGGUGAGGUAAAGGCUCACCAAGCCGACGAUCUCUAGCUGGUCUGAGAGGAUGACAGACCACGCUGGGACUGAGACACGGCCCAGACGCCUACGGGAGGCAGCAGGGGGGAAUAUUGCGCAAUGGGGGCAACCUGACGCAGCCAUGCCGCUUGAAUGAAGAAGGCCUUCGGGUUGUAAAGUUCUUUCGGUAGCGAGGCGUUAACUACAGAAGAAGCACCGGCUAACUCCGUGCCAGCAGCCGCGGUAAUUC
rnacentral:rRNA from 1 species